rnacentral:misc_RNA from 1 species
UCACAUUGGUUAACAGUUCUAU